CGACCUGACCUCAGGC
rnacentral:rRNA from 1 species